GCGAACGGGUGAGUAACACGUGGGCAACCUGCCCAAAAGAGGGGGAUAACACUUGGAAACAGGUGCUAAUACCGCAUAACCAUAGUUACCGCAUGGGUAACUAUGUAAAAGGUGGCUAUGCUACCGCUUUUGGAUGGGCCCGCGGCGCAUUAGCUAGUUGGUGGGGUAAAGGCUUACCAAGGCAAUGAUGCGUAGCCGAACUGAGAGGUUGAUCGGCCACAUUGGGACUGAGACACGGCCCAAACUCCUACGGGAGGCAGCAGUAGGGAAUCUUCCACAAUGGGCGAAAGCCUGAUGGAGCAACGCCGCGUGGGUGAAGAAGGUCUUCGGAUCGUAAAACCCUGUUGUUAGAGAAGAAAGUGCGUGAGAGUAACUGUUCACGUUUCGACGGUAUCUAACCAGAAAGCCACGGCUAACUACGUGCCAGCAGCCGCGGUAAUACGUAGGUGGCAAGCGUUAUCCGGAUUUAUUGGGCGUAAAGGGAACGCAGGCGGUCUUUUAAGUCUGAUGUGAAAGCCUUCGGCUUAACCGGAGUAGUGCAUUGGAAACUGGGAGACUUGAGUGCAGAAGAGGAGAGUGGAACUCCAUGUGUAGCGGGUGAAAUGCGCAGAUAUAUGGAAGAACACCAGUGGCGAAAGCGGCUCUCUG
rnacentral:rRNA from 1 species